rnacentral:rRNA from 1 species
UACGUAGGGGGCUAGCGUUGUCCGGAAUCAUUGGGCGUAAAGAGCGUGUAGGCGGCCCGGUAAGUCCGCUGUAAAAGUCAAAGGCUCAACCUUUGAAUGUCAGUGGAUACUGCCGGGCUAGAGUCCGGAAGAGGCGAGUGGAGCUCCUGGUGUAGCGGUGGAAUGCGCAGAUAUCAGGAAGAACACCAACGGCGAAGGCAGCUCGCUAGGACGGUACUGACGCUGAGACGCGAAAGCGUGGGGGAGCGAACAGG